UGGGAACCAAUCUGCGAAUAGAUUUUUUUCUUACAUUUCUUUUUCUUUUACAAUUAUUAAAGUGGCACCUUAAAAUAUAUAUUAACCGUUUCCACGCAGAGCAGCUGUACUCAAAUAAUGACUACUAGCUUUUGCGCAAUCGAUAAUAUGAUCGUCUUACGCAACAUUACAAAACUGUAGCUACUGAUUUCCUGGAAUAGUCAUAACCCUGCAGGAGCUCAGGUGCCAGGUUUGUUUAAAAAGUGAGCAUCUGAAGCCAAGCCAAAAUGACAUGCCCAACCCGAGACAUCCCCAUCCACAGCUGGCCAGGCUCCUACUACAUCAACAGUGAGAAGCGCUGGGAUGCCGGCACCCUGUCCCUGACCCGCACCAUGCUGCGCUUCACCUCAUACCAGAGCAAAGAGAACCUGGUUGGCUUCCGCCUCUCAAGGAUCAUGGAGAUCAAGAUGGAGUCGUCCAGCUUCAUCUUCAGCACUCUGACUGUGUUGGAGCAUGGGAAUAUCAAGCACUGGUUCGGCUCGCUGAGGCCCAACCGGGUGGUGGUCUACAAUGUCCUGGAGCAUUUCUGGAGGGAGAGGUUGUUGUCCCCAUCUGCUGAGGUUCAGGGGGCCGAGGCACAGCCGACCAAGGGGAGGGAGCUGAUUAACCUGGUUGCGGGGGCUCAGAGACGGCUAGAGGACACAGGGAAUGUCCUCCACCACCAGGGAGAGCAGUUUGAUAACAUCAUGCAUGGCCUAGGCAAGAUCGACUCUGAUCUGGGCGUGGCAGACAGGCUACUGUCUGAACUGGAGUCUCCCCCUUGGUGGCCUUUUGGCAAACUACCCUGGAAGAGUCAGCAGGAUGUCAAGGCUGAGCAUGCUGCCAGAGAGGCUGCUUGUAAGGGAACAGGAACAGGCAAGCACAGAGUGAUCACCAGCGUACCAGCCAUCGUCUCCAGAGGUGGAGACUCAAACCUGAAGCCUGGUUGCUUGAUGGUGAUGGUCUCCUCAUUAGAAGUCCGAGACACAAACUAUGUGCUCCUCCACCGCUUUCAGAGGGAUGAGGUGGAUGACAUCCGGGUGCACAAUCCGUAUGAGAUCAGUGUGAGGCAGAGGUUCAUAGGGAAGCCAGACAUAUGCUUCCGACUCCUGUCGGCUAAGAUGCCGGAGGCCAUGUCAGUGCUAGAGAUACAGUAUAAGAAGAAGGUGGAGUACACAAGUGAGUACUCUGCCUUCAUGACGACCCCAGCUACGACCCCAUGUGACCAGGAUCAAGGUUCAAUAUGGAAUGCAGCAGGCCUGCUGCAGUACCAGGAGACAGAGGUCCCCAUGACAGUCCCAGCAGGAGAGCUGUCCCAGUUGCAGGUGCAUGUCCUUAAGCCAGAGGUCACUCAGGCUGAGGCUCAGGAAAUCCGACAGAUGCUGAUGCAGCUGAAAAACCUGGCUCUGGAGGCUGAGACUGAGCUGGAGAGGCAAGACGAGGCCCUGGAUAUUCUGACCAGCUCUACGGACCGGGCCACUAUGCACAUAGACAAACAUACCUGCCGCAUGAAGAGGCUGCUGUAGUUCACACACCAGCCAACCGGCUCACUACAGCGCAGUCCAGAAAUGCGCUGUGAGUUGCUGUUACCUUACGACAAAUUUGCAGGUGUCAGUAAAGCCAUCCCCUCCCUCCCUGCACAUGGUUUCCCUCCAGCUCCCCUCCAGCUCCAAGUGUUGCAUGUCCCCAUGUUGCUGCAGAGUAAGUGAUGCAUCGAGUGGGAUCACUGUAUUAUAAUCCAGUUUGCAGUGGGUAUGUAACAAAGUCCCUUGAAACUGUGUCCCUUGAAAUUCACAGAAUACUAUUUGGUUACUACCUAUUCUAUAAUGUACAGUACAAGAAAAAGCAGACGGCAACUUACAAUCUUUCUAACAUUGACUCUGGAUUUGGGGAUAUCUGUAUAAUCUUAUUUGUAUGAAUGACUUGCAUACUUCUAUGUUGUACUGUAAUUUAUUUAUUGUCUAUUUAUCAUUGAUAAACUGUGAUUUAAACCCAAAAUAUCUGGUAAAUCAUGUUUUUCUU